rnacentral:rRNA from 1 species
AGAGUUUGAUCAUGGCUCAGAUUGAACGCUGGCGGCAUGCCUUACACAUGCAAGUCGAACGGCAGCACGGGGGCAACCCUGGUGGCGAGUGGCGAACGGGUGAGUAACACAUCGGAACGUACCCAGUUGUGGGGGAUAACCAGUCGAAAGACGGGCUAAUACCGCAUGAUCUGGCGACAGCAAAGCGGGGGAUCGGUAACGACCUCGCGCGAUUGGAGCGGCCGAUGUCCGAUUAGCUAGUUGGUGGGGUAAAGGCCCACCAAGGCUUUGAUCGGUAGCUGGUCUGAGAGGAUGAUCAGCCACACUGGGACUGAGACACGGCCCAGACUCCUACGGGAGGCAGCAGUGGGGAAUUUUGGACAAUGGGGGCAACCCUGAUCCAGCCAUGCCGCGUGAGUGAAGAAGGCCUUCGGGUUGUAAAGCUCUUUCGGUAGGAACGAAACGGUUACAGCUAAUACCUGUGACUAAUGACGGUACUUACAGAAGAAGCACCGGCUAACUACGUGCCAGCAGCCGCGGUAAUACGUAGGGUGCGAGCGUUAAUCGGAAUUACUGGGCGUAAAGGGUGCGCAGGCGGUCUCGUAAGCUGGGUGUGAAAGCCCCGGGCUUAACCUGGGAAUGGCAUUCAGGACUGCGAGGCUUUGAGUGCGGCAGAGGGAGGUGGAAUUCCCGUGUAGCAGUGAAAUGCGUAGAGAUGUGGAGGAACACCGAUGGCGAAGGCAGCCUCCUGGGCCAGCACUGACGCUCAUGCACGAAAGCGUGGGGAGCAAACAGGAUUAGAUACCCUAGUAGUCC